CAAUAGGACUUCGACGGGCCCACUGCUGCUCUUCAGGUGCAUCUGAUAUUUCUUCUGCCCAUUGCCAGCCUGAGAGAAGAGAGAGAGAAAACUUUAAUACAUAUUAAGUGCACAUACAGCAAGAAGAGAGCAGAGAGGUAAGAGAGAUUCGGGAAGUGGCACCUCCAGCUGGGUUCCCGAGGGCGCGCGGAUGGCCAGCAGAGUAUCACCUACAGGGGGCAGCAGAGAGACACAGACUCUCUGCUGGUCCAGCUCCAGCUCCUGCCGCUCCAGCUCAACAAGCUCCGCCUUCAGGUCAAUCAGCCUAUCAGCGAUCUCCCUGGUGUUGCAGCCUGGACCCACGCCCCUAUCAGCAGAC